rnacentral:lncRNA from 1 species
GUAUAUACAUUACGGAAAAUUUUCAUGUUUACCACUUUUUUGGUACUAUUAUUCAUGUUUACCACCACUAAAGAGACAUUUUCAAAAACACUUUAUUCAUUAAGUGGCAAAAGACUCUUAUACACUUGUUUUCUUUUUAUAUAAUAAAAAAUUAUUUAAAUAAAUAAAAAUUUAAAAAAAAACUAAAAAUAAAAAAAACGAAAAAUAAUUGUUUCUUAUGUUUUCAAAUUAUACUUUUUUCAGAUUCUACCUUUUUAUAAAAAAAAUUUUGAAUUUGUUUUUUCGAAUUUUUAUUUUCCAAAAUUUAUAUUUAAAAAUCAAUUUUUUUUGAAACUAUUUUUUAAGUUUUUUUACAUUUUUAAGUAUUUAUUUAUAUAUUUAUUAGAAUCCUAAAUUUCACAUACCAAAAACCUUACCCACCUCUCAACUCUAAACAUUUUAACUUUUUUUACAUUUUUAAGUAUUUAUUUAUAUAUUUAUUAGAAUCCUAAAUUUCACAUUCCAAAAAUCUUACCCACCCCUCAA